rnacentral:misc_RNA from 1 species
CAUCGCCAAUAUUUAUCCCCAUUCCUCUCCCCCCUCCAUUUCCCCGAUUGCGAGGAAUUCCCGAACGCUAGGGGUUUGUAGCCGGGAUCGGCGCUGCAGAUCGCGACGUGCGGGUGUUCCGAUCAGGUGUGUGAUUUGGUGAGGAUCGAUGGGGAAGGCGAAGGGCGGGUCCAUAUUCAUCAGGUUGGUGUCUGCUGCGGGGACGGGGUUCUUCUACGUGAAGCGGAAGAAUCCUAGGAAGAUCACGGAGAAGCUAGAGUUCAGAAAGUACGACCCCCGGGUGAAUAAGCAUGUCCUAUUCACUGAAGCUAAGAUGAAAUGACAAUGUUCAUCUUGUUGCCCCUCUCACUUUAUGCAGCAGCAAUUUGUUUUCUUUCUUGAACUGCUAAGGUAAGAAUGUUGUAUGAAUAAUAUAAGUUCAUUUCUUGAUUUGUGUUUUUUU